rnacentral:lncRNA from 1 species
AUGAAGAAAAUCGAUGUGAAUGGAAAGGCACACCUGUGUUUAUUUGCGCUGAAAGACAUUAAAGAAGGAGAAGAAAUCACAUAUGAUUAUGGGGGAGACGACUGCCCAUGGAGAACCCAAGAGAGCAGCAUUGCUGCUAAUAGCAGAGCAGCAGGUGACUCUGAUGCUUCUCUCCAGUCACAGACUCCAGUGGAUGAUGCUUCUCUCCAGUCACAGACUCCAGUGGAUGAUGCUUCUCUCCAGUCACAGACUCCAGUGGAUGAUGCUUCUCUCCAGUCACAGACUCCAGUGGAUGAUGCUUCUCUCCAGUCACAGACUCCAGUGGAUGAUGCUUCUCUCCAGUCACAGACUCCAGUGGAUGAUGCUUCUCUCCAGUCACAGACUCCAGUGGAUGAUGCUUCUCUCCAGUCACAGACUCCAAUGGAUGAUGCUUCUCUCCAGUCACAGACUCCAAUGGAUGAUGCUUCUCUCCAGUCACAGACUCCAAUGGAUGAUGCUUCUCUCCAGUCACAGACUCCAGUGGAUGAUGCUUCUCUCCAGUCACAGACUCCAGUGGAUGAUGCUUCUCUCCAGUCACAGACUCCAGUGGAUGAUGCUUCUCUCCAGUCACAGACUCCAAUGGAUGAUGCUUCUCUCCAGUCACAGACUCCAAUGGAUGAUGCUUCUCUCCAGUCACAGACUCCAGUGGAUGAUGCUUCUCUCAGUCACAGACUCCAGUGGAUGAUGCUUCUCUCCAGUCACAGACUCCAGUGGAUGAUGCUUCUCUCCAGUCACAGACUCCAGUGGAUGAUGCUUCUCUCCAGUCACAGACUCCAGUGGAUGAUGCUUCUCUCCAGUCACAGACUCCAGUGGAUGAUGCUUCUCUCCAGUGACAGACUCCAGUGGAUGAUGCUUCUCUCAGUCACAGACUCCAGUGGAUGAUGCUUCUCUCCAGUCACAGACUCCAAUGGAUGAUGCUUCUCUCCAGUCACAGACUCCAGUGGAUGAUGCUUCUCUCCAGUCACAGACUCCAGUGGAUGAUGCUUCUCUCCAGUCACAGACUCCAGUGGAUGAUGCUUCUCUCCAGUCACAGACUCCAAUGGAUGAUGCUUCUCUCCAGUCACAGACUCCAGUGGAUGAUGCUUCUCUCAGUCACAGACUCCAGUGGAUGAUGCUUCUCUCCAGUCACAGACUCCAGUGGAUGAUGCUUCUCUCCAGUCACAGACUCCAGUGGAUGAUGCUUCUCUCCAGUCACAGACUCCAGUGGAUGAUGCUUCUCUCCAGUCACAGACUCCAGUGGAUGAUGCUUCUCUCCAGUGACAGACUCCAGUGGAUGAUGCUUCUCUCAGUCACAGACUCCAGUGGAUGAUGCUUCUCUCCAGUCACAGACUCCAAUGGAUGAUGCUUCUCUCCAGUCACAGACUCCAAUGGAUGAUGCUUCUCUCCAGUCACAGACUCCAAUGGAUGAUGCUUCUCUCCAGUCACAGACUCCAGUGGAUGAUGCUUCUCUCCAGUCACAGACUCCAGUGGAUGAUGCUUCUCUCCAGUCACAGACUCCAAUGGAUGAUGCUUCUCUCCAGUCACAGACUCCAGUGGAUGAUGCUUCUCUCAGUCACAGACUCCAGUGGAUGAUGCUUCUCUCCAGUCACAGACUCCAGUGGAUGAUGCUUCUCUCCAGUCACAGACUCCAGUGGAUGAUGCUUCUCUCCAGUCACAGACUCCAGUGGAUGAUGCUUCUCUCCAGUCACAGACUCCAGUGGAUGAUGCUUCUCUCCAGUCACAGACUCCAGUGGAUGAUGCUUCUCUCCAGUGACAGACUCCAGUGGAUGAUGCUUCUCUCAGUCACAGACUCCAGUGGAUGAUGCUUCUCUCCAGUCACAGACUCCAAUGGAUGAUGCUUCUCUCCAGUCACAGACUCCAGUGGAUGAUGCUUCUCUCCAGUCACAGACUCCAGUGGAUGAUGCUUCUCUCCAGUCACAGACUCCAGUGGAUGACGCUUCUCUCCAGUCACAGACUCCAAUGGAUGACGCUUCUCUCCAGUCACAGACUCCAGUGGAUGACGCUUCUCUCAGUCACAGACUCCAGUGGAUGACGCUUCUCUCCAGUCACAGACUCCAGUGGAUGACGCUUCUCUCCAGUCACAGACUCCAGUGGAUGAUGCUUCUCUCCAGUCACAGACUCCAGUGGAUGACGCUUCUCUCCAGUCACAGACUCCAGUGGAUGAUGCUUCUCUCCAGUGACAGACUCCAGUGGAUGAUGCUUCUCUCAGUCACAGACUCCAGUGGAUGAUGCUUCUCUCCAGUCACAGACUCCAAUGGAUGAUGCUUCUCUCCAGUCACAGACUCCAAUGGAUGAUGCUUCUCUCCAGUCACAGACUCCAAUGGAUGAUGCUUCUCUCCAGUCACAGACUCCAGUGGAUGAUGCUUCUCUCCAGUCACAGACUCCAAUGGAUGAUGCUUCUCUCCAGUCACAGACUCCAGUGGAUGAUGCUUCUCUCAGUCACAGACUCCAGUGGAUGAUGCUUCUCUCCAGUCACAGACUCCAGUGGAUGAUGCUUCUCUCCAGUCACAGACUCCAGUGGAUGAUGCUUCUCUCCAGUCACAGACUCCAGUGGAUGAUGCUUCUCUCCAGUCACAGACUCCAGUGGAUGAUGCUUCUCUCCAGUGACAGACUCCAGUGGAUGAUGCUUCUCUCAGUCACAGACUCCAGUGGAUGAUGCUUCUCUCCAGUCACAGACUCCAGUGGAUGAUGCUUCUCUCAGUCACAGACUCCAGUGGAUGAUGCUUCUCUCCAGUCACAGACUCCAGUGGAUGAUGCUUCUCUCCAGUCACAGACUCCAAUGGAUGAUGCUUCUCUCCAGUCACAGACUCCAGUGGAUGAUGCUUCUCUCCAGUCACAGACUCCAGUGGAUGAUGCUUCUCUCCAGUCACAGACUCCAGUGGAUGAUGCUUCUCUCCAGUCACAGACUCCAGUGGAUGAUGCUUCUCUCCAGUCACAGACUCCAGUGGAUGAUGCUUCUCUCCAGUCACAGACUCCAGUGGAUGAUGCUUCUCUCCAGUCACAGACUCCAAUGGAUGAUGCUUCUCUCCAGUCACAGACUCCAGUGGAUGAUGCUUCUCUCCAGUCACAGACUCCAGUGGAUGAUGCUUCUCUCCAGUCACAGACUCCAGUGGAUGAUGCUUCUCUCCAGUCACAGACUCCAAUGGAUGAUGCUUUUGGUCAAACCAGGUCUCCUCAACAGGUACGGUCACAUUUAUCAAUGGAAAGUUAUGUCUACUGUCAGUUUUUUCCAUGUUUUUGGUGCAUAUUUUGAUGCGUAUCUGCUGUAAACUAGUUCCCUCAACAGUUUAUCAACAUGUGUCCAGUAGGUUAGAGGUAGUGGAAUAUUUGGGGCCAGUUUUGUCCUUCACAAGUAAGUUUUUCUUGGUUAAUUGGUGCUUUUAAAAUUUUCACUCACGACGUCCCCACAACACACUUUUGGUCGCUCAGUGUUGGGAGUUGAGAUGUUGUGUGAGAUUAGAUGAAUCUGGUCCCCAUGAGGAACAAUAAACGUUGUGUGUCUUUGAUUCUACACCAGAGAGUUCCGAUGAUUAUGUUCCAGAUACCACUUCUGAAAGUGACGGUGAUGUUAGCCUUACACUAAACCAGGCAAAACGUUGGCUUCUUGAUGAACUGGAUAUUGAUCAGUCUGGCUCAGUGAGUUGCCCUGAUUGUGACACCACAACGUCAGACAAAAUGCACAAUGUUGCGUCUGAAGCAUCUGGAACAGGAGAAGAACCCAGUUCAAGUCAGAACACAACAGACGGAAUAGUUGUUAGUGCAUACCAAAAAAGAGAUGGUGCUAGAGUGUACAACAAGAGACAUUACUGCUUGUACUGCAGUAAACCCUAUGCUAAGAUGGCAAGGCAUCUAGAAAGUUCACAUGAAAAUAAGUCUGAUGUGGCUAGAGCUCUAAGCUUUCCAAAGGGUUCAAAGGAGAGGAAAAACCAGCUUGAUUAUAUUCGCAACAGAGGAAACUAUGCUCACAAUGCAGCUGUUAUGGAGUCAGGAAAGGGGGAACUAGUGCCAUUUAAACGACCACGUAAAGAAGUGCAGGGAGAAGAUUUCAUGCAUUGUGCAUACUGUCAAGGACUUUUUACAAGAAAGGUCCUGUGGAGACACAUGCGUACUUGUAGACUUCAACCACAAUCAGACCCUCCCAAACCAGGAAAAAACCGUGUUCAGUCCAUGUGUACCUACACAGGGCCUGUGCCUUCAAACAUGACCAAACAACUGUGGGGAGUAAUCAGUGCCAUGAAUCCUGACCCAAUCACAGAUAUAAUAAAAAAUGACAGAGUAAUUACUGAUAUUGGGCAGCACUUGUUGAACAAAGGUGGGCUAUCAGAUAAGAAUAAACAAUGUGUGUGGGAGAAGAUGCGAGAACUGGGAAGAUUGAUUCACAAUGCCAGGAAAGUCACCUCCUUAAAAACAAGCUUGGGAACUUGAGUACUUUAAAAUAAUUUAAAGAAAGAAUAGUUCGAAGUGGAAAGGUUUAAAUGUUUGACUUGUGGGUAUGAUAUGAGUUGGAACAUAUACAGGCAAUCAUUCACUAUGUUAAAUCCUUUGUAUUCACAUGUGCAAAAUGCAACUUAGAGUCAUCCUAACUGAAGAUAACUUGCACUGAAGGAUUUGUAAAACAUGUCAGUGCCAUUGUUUUGUCUCAAAAUGCAAACCAGUAAUGUUUUUUUCUAAGGCAUUUUAAUAGAAGCUGUUUCUAUACCCAGAGGUGGGUAGUAACGAGUUACAUUUACUUCGUUACAUUUACUUGAGUAAUUUUUGGGGGUAACUAAUACUUUUCGGAGUAUAUUUAAAGACUUUAUACUCUUGCUUGAGUAAAUUUUUUUGGGAAAAAUCUGUGCUUUUACUUCGUUACUGUGGGUUACGCUCCUCUCGUUACUUUAUCUUAAUGCAAUAAAUGUUGUAAAUGCUUCAGUUUAUUCCAAACGCGCCGUCUACUUUUCUCUGGGAAAUGAGCGAUGGCCAUUCGCGAAUGAUUCAUUCUUUUGAGUCAAUUCUGUUCAAAGGCUUGCUCAAACCAGUUGGCAAACGAGUGAAUUGGUUCAUGAAUCAGUUUGAAUGAUUCGUUCAGUUCCCUGCCGCACGCGCUGAGCGUCUGAAGCGGUUCACUCAGAGUUGUAACGUUUCAGA